GAUGAACGCUGGCGGCGUGCUUAACACAUGCAAGUCGAACGGAAAGGCUCCUGCUUGCAGGGGUACUCGAGUGGCGAACGGGUGAGUAACACGUGGGUGAUCUGCCUUGCACUUCGGGAUAAGCCUGGGAAACUGGGUCUAAUACCGGAUAGGACGAUGGGUUGGAUGCCAUUGUGGAAAGUUUUUCGGUGUGGGAUGAGCUCGCGGCCUAUCAGCUUGUUGGUGGGGUAUUGGCCUACCAAGGCGUCGCCGGGUAGCCGGCCUGGGAGGGUGUACGGCCACAUUGGGCCUGAGUUACGGCCCGGACUCCUCCGGGGGGCAGCGGUGGGGAAUAUUGCACAAUGGGCGCAGGCCUGAUGCAGCGACGCCGCGUGGGGGAUGACGGCCUUCGGGUGGUAAACUCCUUUCGCUAGGGACGAGGCGCAAGUGCCGGUACCUGGAGAAGAAGCACCGGCUACCUACGU
rnacentral:rRNA from 1 species